GCGAGUCUGGCCGAGUGGUUAAGGCGUUGUGUUUAGGACAUACCCUCCCAUGGGGUAUACGCUUGAACCGCAAUGUGCAUCGCACGCGUAGGUUCGAUCCCUACGGCUCGCA
rnacentral:tRNA from 1 species